rnacentral:lncRNA from 1 species
UGGUGAUUUGUACUCAUAAGUAGGUGUGGGUGGCGGUGGAGACUUGUACACAUAGGUCGGUGUUGGUGGCGGUGGAGACUUGUAUACAUAAGUAGGUGUAGGAGGUGGUGGUGACUUGUAGUAAUAUGUUGGUGAAGGUGGUGGAGGAGAUUUGUAUACAUAAGGAGGGGUUGGUGGUGGUGGAGAUUUGUAUACAUAAGUAGGCGUUGGUGGAGGUGGUGACUUGUAGACAUAAGUAGGUACUGGAGGAGGUGGUGACUUGUACUCAUAAGUAGGCGUGGGUGGCGGUGGAGACUUGUACACAUAGGUUGGUGUUGGUGGUGGUGGAGAUUUGUACUCAUAAGUAGGUGUGGGUGGCGGUGGAGACUUGUACACAUAGGUCGGUGUUGGUGGCGGUGGAGAUUUGUACUCAUAAGUAGGCGUGGGUGGCGGUGGAGACUUGUACACAUAGGUCGGUGUUGGUGGCGGUGGAGAUUUAUACUCAUAAGUAGGCGUUGGUGGAGGUGGAGAUUUGUAUUCAUAAGUGGGCGUGGGUGGUGGUGGAGACUUGUACUCAUAAGUAGGCGUGGGUGGCGGUGGAGACUUGUACACAUAGGUUGGUGUUGGUGGUGGUGGAGAUUUGUACUCAUAAGUAGGUGUGGGUGGCGGUGGAGAUUUGUACUCAUAAGUAGGCGUGGGUGGCGGUGGAGAUUUGUACUCAUAAGUAGGCUUUGGUGGUGGUGGAGACUUGUACUCAUAAGUAGGCGUGGGUGGCGGUGGAGACUUGUACACAUAGGUUGGUGUUGGUGGUGGUGGAGAUUUGUACUCAUAAGUAGGUGUGGGCGGCGGUGGAGACUUGUACACAUAGGUCGGUGUUGGCGGCGGUGGAGAUUUGUACACAUAGGUCGGUGUUGGUGGCGGUGGAGACUUGUAUACAUAGGUCGGUGCUGGAGGAGGUGGGGACUUAUAGACAUAAGUUGGCGACGGUGGUGGAGGAGACUUGUAGUAGUACGGAGCCGGGGUCGGCUUCGGCUUCUUAC